GUGCCUGUGGCUCAGUGGGUAGGGCACCAAUGCCAUAUACUGAGGGUGGUGGGUUCAAACCCAGCCAGGCAUU
rnacentral:tRNA from 1 species